AACUGUAAGUAUUAUAUUUACAGCGCUUUCUGCUCAAUGAUAUUUAAAUAGCCGCAGUACUUUGACUGUGCAAAGGUAGCAUAAUAAUUUGGCUUUUAAUUGGGGUCUGGUAUGAAUGAAAAAUUGGGGAGAUUCUGUUUCAAAUUGUUUCUUUUAAUUUACUUAGUGGGUGCAAAUUCCUACAAUUAAAAAAAAGACGAGAAGACCCUUGAAAUUUGUAUACAUAUUAGUUUUGUUGGGGCGACAGGGUAACACUAUAACUUACUUUUAAUACAUGAUUUAUUAUAUAUAGAAAGAUAAAAUUACUCAAGGGAUAACAGCAUAAUUAAAAUUUAGUUUGUGACCUCGAUGUUGAAUUAGGAGAAUUAAACCCAGAAGGUUAAGAUUUUAGCUCUGUUCGAGCAAAUAAUCCUACGUGAUCUGGUUCCCAAACCGGA
rnacentral:rRNA from 1 species